rnacentral:rRNA from 1 species
UACGAAGGGGGCUAGCGUUGCUCGGAAUCACUGGGCGUAAAGCGCACGUAGGCGGCUUUUUAAGUCAGGGGUGAAAUCCCGGAGCUCAACUCCGGAACUCCCUUUGAUACUGAGAAGCUUGAGUCCGGGAGAGGUGAGUGGAACUGCGAGUGUAGAGGUGAAAUUCGUAGAUAUUCGCAAGAACACCAGUGGCGAAGGCGGCUCACUGGCCCGGUACUGACGCUGAGGUGCGAAAGCGUGGGGAGCAAACAGG